UGGGGAAUUUUGGACAAUGGGGGAAACCCUGAUCCAGCCAUCCCGCGUGUGCGAUGAAGGCCUUCGGGUUGUAAAGCACUUUUGGCAGGAAAGAAACGUCAUGGGUUAAUACCCCGUGAAACUGACGGUACCUGCAGAAUAAGCACCGGCUAACUACGUGCCAGCAGCCGCGGUAAUACGUAGGGUGCAAGCGUUAAUCGGAAUUACUGGGCGUAAAGCGUGCGCAGGCGGUUCGGAAAGAAAGAUGUGAAAUCCCAGAGCUCAACUUUGGAACUGCAUUUUUAACUACCGGGCUAGAGUGUGUCAGAGGGAGGUAGAAUUCCGCGUGUAGCAGUGAAAUGCGUAGAUAUGCGGGGGAACACCGAUGGCGAAGGCAGCCUCCUGGGAUAACACUGACGCUCAUGCACGAAAGCGUGGGGAGCAAACAGG
rnacentral:rRNA from 1 species